GCUUGCCUAUGCUUAUCAGGGGUUUGAUGUGUGGUGAUUGAUGCAUCGGCGGUCAAUUGAGAAGGUCUAGUGAAGACCUGCUAAAUUGACUGCCAGUCACUCUCCAGUUGACUGCUGUACUCUACCUGAAUGAGAAGCACGAGGGGAGUUGAUGGGAGAGCGUCUCCAGUUGACAUUGUGUAGCGUGGACCCCACGGGCCUGACUUUUGGGGCUGUGAUCAUAACUUCCACUCAGCUGUCACUAGUGGUCCUGUUACAGAGUGAAAAAUUAAGUCAAGCGUGACUCGACAAAAGGAAAAACGGGAGAUCAUUCAGAUCAGGAUACCGGAAGAUUGUGCAUAGUUUCGAUCACGUUCAUGCAUCUGCCGCAAAAAACCGCAGGAGAAUGGAGAUGUGUGGGUCCUGACCGUCCCAACACGAUCAACAUUCCACCCACUAUCUAUUCCACCCACUAUUCUAUCCACCCACUCCUAUGAUACCCACAACCUCUGGUUGAGUUACUGAAGUCCUCACAUCAUGAUUUAAAGACAGAAAGUACUUAUAUUUCACUUGAAUGAUGACACAAUUUCAACUGGUAUUAAUUUUUAUUUAUGGAACACAAGAUUGGAGAAAAUGUAUUUCUAAGUCUACUUUUCCAUUUCUGUGUUUUACUAUGGUGGAGUUGGUCAUGACACCUAGUUAAAGUUCCAUUAGAGAUUUUCUUUUGAUAGAGGAUGAUUCUGAAGUUUGAUAAAUGCUGGUUAAGUUGCUUGCUCAUACUGUGAUCUGAUAAACCUGUAAUUCUGAAUAAUUUGCUUCUUUAUAAACAAAAUAUUAGGUUUUAU